AUUGAACGCCGGCGGCAGGCCUAACACAUGCAAGUCGAACGGUAGCACAGAGAGCUUGCUCUCGGGUGACGAGUGGCGGACGGGUGAGUAACGUCUGGGAAACUGCCCGGUGGAGGGGGAUAACUACUGGAAACGGUAGCUAAUACCGCAUAACGUCGCAAGACCAAAGUGGGGGACCUUCGGGCCUCACACCAUCGGAUGUGCCCAGAGGGGAUUAGCUAGUAGGUGGGGUAAUGGCUCACCUAGGCGACGAUCCCUAGCUGGUCUGAGAGGAUGACCAGCCACACUGGAACUGAGACACGGUCCAGACUCCUACGGGAGGCAGCAGUGGGGAAUAUUGCACAAUGGGCGCAAGCCUGAUGCAGCCAUGCCGCGUGUAUGAAGAAGGCCUUCGGGUUGUAAAGUACUUUCAGCGGGGAGGAAGGCGGUGAAGUUAAUAGCUUCACCGAUUGACGUUACCCGCAGAAGAAGCACCGGCUAACUCCGUGCCAGCCGCCGCAGUAA
rnacentral:rRNA from 1 species